rnacentral:rRNA from 1 species
GAUGAACGCUGACAGAAUGCUUAACACAUGCAAGUCAACUUGAAUUUGGGUUUUUACCUUAGGUUUGGGUGGCGGACGGGUGAGUAACGCGUAAAGAACUUGCCUCCCAGCUAGUGACAACAUUUGGAAACGAAUGCUAAUACCUAAUAUUAUGUUAAACGUGCAUCUUAAAAUUAUGAAACCUAUAAGCGCUGUGACUAGGCUUUGCGUCCAUUUGGCUAGUUGGAGAGGUAACGGCUCACCAAGGCGAUGAUGGGUAGCCGGCCUGAGAGGGUGAUCGGCCACAAGGGGACUGAGACACGGCCAUUACUCCUAAGGGAGGAAGCAGUGGGGAAUAUUGGAAAAUAGACCGAGAGUCUGAUGCAGCCAUUCUGUGUGCAAGAUGAAGUUUUUCGGAAUGUAAAGUGCUUUCAGUUGGGAAGAAACAAAUGACGGUACCAACAGAAGAAGUGACGGCUAAAUACGUG